GAAAAAGCCAGGAGGGGAUGGAAGGGGAGGGAAAAAUAUGGGAAAUCCUCCUUGCUUGCUAUCAUAAAUACAGGUGUGGAGGAAUGGACUUGGACAUCCCGCUUGUUAAAACACAGAAAAUACUUAAAAAAAUUACUUUUUUCUGCUGCAAAUGAUACCAUUUCCAGUUUCCAGGAGCUAAAGGAAACGCUGCACUUCCAAAGAGGAUGCAGCAACCUGAGAACAAUUUGCAGCAUAUGUUUUUUAUUUGGGCUAGGAGUUUAUCUUAUUUGUUUUUAACUUACAUCUAUUUAACCCAAAUUUGAUCACCUAUAUAUCUGUAUACAUACAUAUGGGUAGAAAACCUGUAUAUGUUGUAUACAGAACUAUUUCUCUCGAUUAAAACCGAAAAAAAUAAAAAUAAAAAUCCCCAAACCCUCAUCUCUCCCCUCCUCAGCCACUCCGAAGGAAAAGGGCUGGAAGAGGAGGAAAGGAGAGAUGGGCGGAUGGCCAGUUCUCAUUUCGCAGCUCCAGCCCGCUCUGCAGCAAGUAAACAGGGCUAUUUUGAUAAAGAAAAUAAUUAGCUACCAUUGCUAAUUAUGCUAAUCCUCUUCUAGGGUGGUCACGUUAGAAUGAAAAAAAGGCUUUGGACGGUUUUGCGCUGCCCGUUUGGGUUGUGCAAAGCCAUGAUGGUUUUUCCCUUUUUGAUAUUGAAGAUAAUGUUCUUAAAAAUAUAAAAAAAAAUAUAAAAAAAUAUAUGAAAAAUAUUAAAAAAUCUUUCUAAUCAGAGAUAGAGAAUUGAAACUAAUCUCCAGGGUGAUGAAAACUCCCAGCUGGAUGCGUUUCAGCCUGGGAACACAGGCGUGGAGGCACGAAGUGGCGUUGCCCAUAUGAUGGGUGUCCUUUGGUUCAUCUCAACGUUUGAAGACAACCGAAAAAUGAACCCUCUGUCAAUGGGUUUUCAUCGAAAUAACCCAGGGAGAUUAAAAAAAAAAACUGAAAUCUGUGUUAGAACUAAAUCAGCACUUCGGAGAGGCCGAAACUCCAAGAUGUUCUCCUCUGUCCUGGCUCUGGCAGCAAGAAUUGACCUGGCACUGCAUCGUCUCACACGACAGACCCGGAGGAGGAUUUUCCAAGAGGAUCUGCUGGGGAGCAGUCAGGUAAGUUAGAUAAGAUUGCUGGUCCUGAUCUGUGUGUAAUGCAAAAUGUUGUCAUGCUCUUGCCUGAUAUUAGAGUUUCUUUAAAAUAAGCAGGUUCUCAAAGAGUUUAAUGAGUUAAAACAAACACUCCCACACCGUCAGGAGUUGAUUUUAACUCACUGCUGGGAGGAAAGGAACAACUGGAAGGCCCUUCUGCAAAUAUCAGGCUCUUUUUCCACAUUUGUUUUGCAGCCGUGUGCUCCCUGCUAACUUUGGGGUAGAUGAGCUGGGUGGAACAAAGACAUAAGGGUUUAAUUAUCUGGGAAUAACAACAAGGGGAAUUGCAAGACAGUAAUUAACAGCAUAUCCAAAGUAACUAAGAAUGGCAAACAGACUUAGUAAAACAUUUCCAGUUUAUUUAAUACAAUCCACAGAUGCAGAGGAGCUGCUCUGAAACCUAAUAGCUAAAGUCCAGACACAAAUUUCAAGAUUAUUUAGAUGUGGAAACAAAAGCUGCACAGUUUUCCGUUUGUUAGGAGGGAUAAAGUGCUUCUAGAUAAUUCCUUAGCUCUGUAAUUUCUAUUUUUCACCAGGAUGGUGCUCUUUAAAAGGCUGGUAUUUUUUUGAAGAUACCUCGCCUGAGCUGAUGCUCAGAUACCCAACUCCCAGUUUAAUCUUCUUUUAGGACCCAAACUGAAUUUCAACCUGUGAAUCAUAUCAGAAAAGAACCAGGAUCCUUUCCUGGUGUCUCCCAACAGGGAGGAUUUGGAAGGAGGUUUACGAAUAGAAAUUCAUCAUUCCCCCUUGUUGAUCCCUGUGCUAACCAGCUGCGGAAGCAGGCCGUGAUUUAUUGUGAUCUGAAUCCUACCUGGGUGCCAAGGAAUGUUCCGAAUUUUGUUCCAGGUCCCACGAGCACGUUAGCAGAUCUGUGCUAACGUCAUGCUUUUAUUUUCUGCUUUACUUACCUUGUGUGACAGGCAGAGGAUGUAAAGAAUGAAUGUGUGUUAUUUAAAUGCUCUGAUCCUUUGAGUUAUAUUGCCUAAAGAUGAGUGGGGAACAUUAUUCUGCCUCUCCUGAUUGCAUUUUACUUUCUCAAACGCACUGCACAAUCCCGAAGUGGUAUUUAUUAUUUGGAAAGAAUGUGAUUUUGAGUGAAUGAGUCAGCUGCUUUGUUGCACUUCUAACGUUUUAACUAGAUUCAGGGAGAGAAAGGAGGUGACCAAAACAAACAUCAGAUGACCCAGGCUGCGAUCCAGCAGUUUGGCUGACUUCAAAGCACGAGGCGACUCGGAAUCUAAACUUCAAACCAGCGUAGACAUACCCUAGAUUCAAAGCCCAGAUCAACAAACACACGAGCCAGUAAGUUCGAGCUGGAAUCCCUCAGGCUGUAUCUACACUGUGUAGAAUCAAGACAUGAAACAGCAAGGCAUAAAUCCUCUUUGAAUGGAGGCCCUUCCACUAACAUGCCUUCUUUUUUUCCUUUAUUUUGCUGAUUAAACUUCUUUUUCACCUUUGAAAAACAAACCAGUUACAGAUUUUAGGCAUUUUUUUUAAGACACACACAUGCAAUCAACCUCACACGGAUGAUUGCUCAACAUUUUCAAAAAUCCUUGCUAAGGAGUGGUUCAGUUUUGACUACCUCCCCUAAGUAAGUUUGGCAGUUUCAGCUGAAGAUGGUUUCCUUUCCUGCCUCGUCCAAAAUGGGAAAUGGCAUUUCUCUCUCCUGUUUGGUGUUUUCCACGGUAAAUAAAGAAAAACAGAGGAGCUUCUUAUUACUUGUCAGUUUUAAAAAUUUAGGUACUGACUUGUAUUCACAUCAGCUUCUCUCUCUGUGGUAGAGGAGUACAGUCAAUAGCUUUUUCUCCAGGUUUUGAAAAGAUAAUUCCAAGUGAUUUAAAGAGCCUUGAGGUUUCAUCUGAGAAUAAACACAACAUUAUUGUUGGAGAUAUUGAAGGGAAUAAACUAAAAGUGGAGAUUUUAGGUAGAUCUUCUUACGAGGACAGAAUGACAAUACAGGUCCCAGUAGAACGUAUUUGCAAUCCUAACUUUUUCAAAGUGUCUGUUCCAAAACAUUACCCCUCUUAUUUUCAGAGGGAUUCCUCCUUCCCAUUAGCCGAGGAACAUUAUCGUUAGCAUCCAGAUAGCCAUUUAGGUCGAGGAACAUCGUUUAAAUUAAUAACGCGUAUUGGAGCUCACUUUUUGAAGAGAGGUCAAAGGCUUGGAAAAGUUUUUGUGGAAAAAGAGGCGAGAGGUUGUUCUAGGCAGGUAAAUCAUCAGUUAGCUUAUGUGUUCUGCUAGUAGAUGACUACUUUUGUGGCAUAAUGAUGAGUUUCAGACCAUGCUGACGGUACUGAAGGUCUCAGAAAUUAAAAUACGCAGUCCAGAGUUAGAUUUUUCAUGUCCUUAUUGAAUCGUGGCACCCCAAACUGCACACAGCACUCGAGCAGCUAAACUCAGGCAGCUAAGCCAGGAGGAGUCCACAUCUCACCCCAAUCUACAGAACUUAAUUAAAAAGCUAAAUUGCCCAAAUUCCCCCUUACACAUGCACCAGGAAGCUAAGAGUGCUCGAAAACGCUCCGGUCUUUGGCAAGUGGUGUGGAGCAGCGUGCUCCUACGCUGUGAAAUUUUGGCCUCCAAAAUAGGCCGACUUCAUGCAAGCUGGAUGUUGGGAAGCGUCCUUGGCUGGUGCUAACUGCCUGCCUCCGCCUGGAAAUUUGGGGGGAAAAACUGCUAGUUGGCUAGUUGGCAGAGCUGAGCCAGGGACCGUGCCAAGAGUUAACCAUAUGGGCGAUUCAAUUCCUGUGCCUGGAGACAUUUAAUUUCCUGGAACAGGCACAGGCGCAGGGAGUUCAGUGGUUCCAGAUCCCAGUAACCCUCUGUGAGCAUGCAGGGCUGUAAAAAGGGCUGGGAAACGUUGCUAAUUAUCCAGAAGUACAGAUGCUUGUUUGCACGAUUUUGCAGAGACACUGCUGAUAAUGGAAAUAAAAUUUUAUUUUCUACUUUUAUAGGUCAAUGCUCCGAAUAUAUAUACACUUAUGGGCAUGGAAUUUAUAGAGUUAUAUAAAAUAUGCACAAAUAAAAGCCUACUAAGAUGAAAUCAGUUGUGCUUAGAAGACCACACGUUUCAGUGGCUUUUUGUCCACUGAAAUGGAAGCAAUGUCCUUUUUCGGGAAGGGCUGUAUUUUAUUAUUUUAAUUUUGAUUAAUACCUGAAAUAUUUAAUCCUGCAUCUUCAUACAGAAGGCUCAGACACGGCGUGAAAAGUUUGCUUGGGCAGCUACGUGAGGUAAUAGCUGUUUAGGCAAAAAUGUAGAAGGAUUAGGAUGGUUCUGCUUUUUCCUUUGAUGGGAAUUGAAAGGUAUUUUAAAGCAGGGACCGUGUUCAUUGCUUGUCACCGCCGAGUCUCCCACGGGGGAAGAAAGCAAAAAAAAUGGAAAUUUAGUACUGAAUUUGGUAUGUAUCUACCUAGCUUACCCAGCAAAAUAAUGUACUUACUGGUAAGUAACCAGAAGGCACUACACUUCAGCUUUGUGCACAUAUUACUUUGGACUAGACAUAACUGCCUCUCGCAAGAGAGUUUUAUACAUUUAGACAUGGGAGUGCCUGGAAAAUACUGUUCAAACUUUUUUUUUUCAGCGGGAAUUUAUACAAGGUAGUGAGCCUCUGGAAUUGUUGCGUCCAUCUGCUGUUCUCUGCGCUGAAUUGCAGGGGAAUGCCCACAGAAUUACAAGCAGCCCAUGGCUCUCUUUAUCUCCACUCAUUUUUUUUUUUUUUUACACCAUAUCAAGUCCCAGGUAACUGGGGGGGAAGGUGUAAGCAGUGAAGGAACAGAGCUUUGUAUUUAUGAUCCUGAUUUACCUACCCUAACCUUUUUUUUUCUCUCUCUGGAACGUUUUGCAAGCAUAACCCACCAAAAUGCACAUUGCCUGCUCUUAACAAGUGGGUUUUGCUGGAGAGACAGAAUCAGAAAUGGGCUUUUCUGUGCAGCCUUGACACAGUGGCUGUUAAGAAAUUGCAGUAUUGGCAAGUGACAAGUGGCAAGAGCAGCAUUGUAAAAGCAAGAAAAUCCUGUGUACUGCAGAAAAAUGAAAUAAAAAAGCAAGAGACUCCCGUGAACUGCAGAAUAUUGCAAAAACAUGCUGGAUAACUUUUUAAGAUUUACGAUUGAGCUCGUUUAAUCUGACUUUGGGCAUAUUAGGUGUUUAAAUUUUGUCUCAUCACACUCAUUGUUUCGCAGUCAGGCUGAAGAAACAGGCACAUAAAGAGGAUGGAGCAGCUGGAGAUGUCCACUCGCUUUGCCCUCUGGCAGCACACAUUUCUUCCCAUUGAUUUUAAUACAAGCAGAACUUACACUUAGUUCUGACUUUUGGCCUGACGUUCAAUUACUCUUUCUCCAGAGACGUAAGAACAAUAUUCAAAUCUGUAAGAAGGCAGAAAAACCAUUUCCAGCACGAGUUAAAUAUUUGCUUUUUGAUUUUAUGCUUUCAGUGAGGUUUUCAAAUUCCUUUUGGAUUUUUUAAGCUACCUUUCCAUUAAUGUAUUAGACAAUGAUUAUUUCAAUUCCUACAGAUGGAUUGAUGAUGUUGCCAGUACCUAAGAACGAGUGGUUUAUGGCUAGGGAUAUUUCCUGCUAGAUGUAAAUAAAAAUCCAAAGCUUUUUUAAUACAAUUGCAAUUGGUCUGCAGAAAAUUUGCAUGCAAUUUUCUUUGUAAAUAAUGGCAAUCCACGCAAAUUGCCUGCAAAGAUGACUCAGAGGUUUUUAGCUGAGAGUAAACGUGUUCUGGAGGUUUCUCCUUAGGUACCAAGGAGGCAUUUUCCUCCAUCAGGUGGCAGCAGUCCAGGCUCUGCCCAUAACCCAGGAUCUCAGGAUCACAUUCCCCAGCACAGGAGGCUUCCUCGUAGGAUUUUCCUUUUCCUUCAGGGUUUUUCCUGCUGAUUUUUUUUUCUAGCAUGAUUUUUCUGUAUCAGAAUAUCCCAUAACACGUUUUGUAUGCCAGCAUCACAGCGAGAACCUUACCUCCCUGCAUCAUCGUGCCAACGGGACUCCCUUCUCCUUUCCUCUGUGGCACCGCCGUCAUGUUUGAUAUCCAGGACAGACAGAUGUGUGGCUUUACAAGCGAUAAAUGAAGGCAUAAAUUAAGUUUAUUAGACUUGUCAUCACAUUGGGAAGUCAGCCUUCAGCUUCUGCUUUGGCAUGAGACUGAGUGAAAAUUGCCUAUGGCAAGCUGAGUCUGGGAAACAGUCGUAAAAUACAUGGUCAAAAUCCUAAUAUAAAGGAUUAAAAAAAUCCUAGCAAAGGUAUGGAGGAUGAAACAUCAACAACUCCUCCUCAAGAAAAUGAUUUCCUUUUAGGUGGGAGAUUAGGUGACCUGGCAUCCUUUUAAGAUUUUACCUUCUGUGGUUGUGUGGUUCCUCCUGCAGAUGAGAUCUCUGCAGGUGACAAGCACUCCCUGGGUACAAGCUGUGCUCAACUAUGAAAGCAAACAUUUUCCUCACCCCAUUGCUAUUUUACAGUGACUUUUAGGGAAUCUCUGGCUUUGUUCUGGGAUUUUGUUACCCACAAAGCUUUAACGUCAUGUUGCACUACAACCGUCCACCGACUCAAUCUCAUAAUGAGAAUUAAAAAGGAAAAGGUUUCAGAAAUGUUUGUAGUUCCACGUUUUUUUUUCACCAGAUUCCUGAUUCUUGACAUGGUACUGGGCUGCAAUUUCAGAUUAGAUGAAAAAAUAAUAAUAAAUUAAAAAAAACAAAGCCAAACAAAGCCAACAACAGCAGUAAACACUCAUAGUGAAAAGCCCAACUAGCAUCUUCUUUAUCAGCAGUGAUUUUUACUGAAUUUCAUCAUGCUUCUCUUGCUGAAUUUCUUUCAGUGAUGCUUGAAACCUGGUUUCUUGCUAGUUGAUUAUUCGGAACAGUAUUAACAGUGUGUUUCAGUAUUUUUAGGUGAAAGCUGUGACUGCUGGGGAAGCCUUCCUUUUGUGAUGCCCGGGUUUAGCAGGGGACUGGAAAAAUUACUUUCUGUAAAACCUGCUCCUGGAUUUAGCUCCUCUGCAAAGCAUUUAAGAACAAACCAUAGCCAUCUUCAGCUGCGUGUGGAUGUGUUGCAGAUCUACAAAAGCUCCAUUUUCUGCCCUGAGGUGCUUCGUCGAUCCGUUCGCUGUUGCUGUUUUACGAGGCGUCACCUUUUGCAUUAUUUCUUUUUCCUUCUCUCUGAACAAGGUAAACGUUUUCGAACAAGAAGGUAGACGCUGAACAACGAUUGAUGAAUAAUAACAAAUUCUCUGAACGCCUCGGUUUGCAUGGGAAUUAGUGCUGGUGUGGUCCACCCAGCAGCAGCACUCUCAAAGUUUCAUUAAUAUGCAGGCUCACAAAUGGCAAAUAAAAGAGCAGAAGAGCGUUCAAAAGAGUAACCAAGAGAAAUACAAACCAGUGUGCCUGAAUAACAUAUUUACCAUGCCCAUUUCUUUCAGCUCUGAUAUUUAAGCAUCUUAAAGACGUGUCCACAAUUGUGCAAGAGCAUCCUGCCUUCAAAACCUUCCGAGACCUGCAGCAGCAUGGUUCCUACUGCCUCUCAUAAGCAGCUCGGGAAAUGCCAGAGGAAACAUCAAUUUCUUUCAGCAUUAGACAACACCUUAACAGUCCCUCCUGCCUGGAGCUGCUAGAAAGAAGCCCUCGGCAGUACAUGAUAGCUCUAUUGAUCCAGUAAAAUGCAGCAGCAGUGCCACGUGUACAUAUUUACACCUUUUCCUCAACUAUUUGCACAUAAAUGGCAACCUUUCUGAUUUGUAUACCAUUCUUCUACCAUUUUCUAGAGCCUACAAUAGGCCAAGUCAAUGAGCAAGUUACAUAAAAAAGGAAAAUGUACUUGUAGGACUCAAGCCAGUAAGUCAGAGAUGUUAUUCUUAGAUUCAUACAUCUUUAAAGUCAGAGCUUUUGGAGUAUUUAAUUCCAAAGAGAACUCGAAUGGUUUGAUAAUAGUAAAAUACUUCACGUUUAGUUUUUUUAAAAGGAGUUUAUUAUGAUAUGCCUGAACACAUUUAGUGGAAACAAUUGAGAAAACGUAAAUUUCCUAUACAAGAAAAAAUGGGUCCUGCACUUCUCUAAGAUAAUUUAAGAGAACACUACUUGUGUUGCUCAUUAUAAGUAAAACUCCUUUACAAAAAGACCAGGGGAUAUCCCUCUUUUCUUGUAGCUUGCCCUGGCUGGGUGUUGGUGAUCUCUAGCUCUGGGCAGCUUCCCUGCUUGUUGCAAAUUAACGAACGAACUCUCUUCCAGGUUCUGAAAGGCAAAAUAUUUCUUCCUAGAUCCUCAGGAGUUCAAGAAGAAGCGGUGCUGGUAGCCCACCAUGUGAGGAUUUCUGGCCCCAGAUCAGAUUCUCAGUAGGCAAAACUGACAAAACCCAGAAGAAACUGGGAACUUCUGUCUCAUUUCACAGGUUGGCCUGCCAUGGGCUUUGUGGAAACAACCCACAAAGCUGCCAAAAGGCUGAGUUGGGAUUUUAAUCUUUGUUUUAUUGAGACUCAGCUGAAACACCAGCGACAGCGUAACACCAACAUCCACACGGGUUGGGAGCUGUACCUUUGGAAGUUUUAGCAGAUGAAAUACUAAAGAUGCUGGGGGCUUACCAAGAAGAAACAAAUAAUUAGCGUGGCGUGUGCGCCGAUGUAAAUUUACAUGAGGGAGAGAGAGAUAAGACUGCAAGCUACUCUGCCCUUGCUCAGAAGUAGCCUAACGCUGAUACAUUUUAAAAGCUUUGGCUGAAUUCCUGCAUCCUCCUGCCAGCACAGCUUCUUCCAAUAAAACCAGAAAUCUAAUAUUUUUUUCGAAGGUCAGCGAGGCUUCCUAACACCUUUAUCUCUCACAGGCAUGUCUUAAGUCCAUGCGGUGUUUCUAAAUAACCUCUUAUUUUUUUUUAAUUACGACUUAGUUAUGAUUUUCCUUGGCACAGACGAAUGCGGAGCUCGUGUAAGACACCAGACAGCAGAGUGUGAGCACAAUACAGCAGAGAAAAGACACAAAAAGACGUUCAUUUCCAAGUACCAGCACUCCAGCGAUGUAUUUCAGCGUAAAGGUAAUUUUGGAAGCGAAAAGGCAAUUCUUCCAAAGUUCUGGUACAGAAAGGAUUCAUGAGGCUGUAAAUUCCUGCCCUAGUCUUCUAACUCAUCAGCCUCCUUUCUUUCUGGAGUGGUUUAGGAUUCCGUUUCUCACUGUCUUUUCAAGAAUGCCAAACAGGGUCUAAGCAGAAAGAAUGGUGUCUAUAAUGACUCUCAGAGACAAUUAGCUCGAAAAGAGCCUUCAGACGAGCUGAUUUUUGAAGGAAAGUGCUCCACGUACCAGCCUCCAGCAGCUCGUGGAAAAGGAACAACCAAAUUGUGUUUAUUUAGCACCUGGCACAACAAAGCUA